UACAGAGGUGGCAAGCGUUGUUCGGAAUUACUGGGCGUAAAGGGCGCGCAGGCGGCCCUCCAAGUCAGGCGUGAAAGCCCCGGGCUCAACCCGGGAACAGCGCUUGAGACUGGGGGGCUUGAGUUCGGGAGAGGAGAGUGGAAUUCCCAGUGUAGAGGUGAAAUUCGUAGAUAUUGGGAAGAACACCGGUGGCGAAGGCGGCUCUCUGGACCGACACUGACGCUGAGGCGCGAAAGCGUGGGGAGCAAACAGG
rnacentral:rRNA from 1 species